rnacentral:rRNA from 1 species
AGUGAACGCUGGCGGUAGGCCUAACACAUGCAAGUCGAACGGCAGCACAGUAAGAGCUUGCUCUUACGGGUGGCGAGUGGCGGACGGGUGAGGAAUACAUCGGAAUCUACUUUUUCGUGGGGGAUAACGUAGGGAAACUUACGCUAAUACCGCAUACGACCUACGGGUUAAAGCAGGGGAUCUUCGGACCUUGCGCGAUUGAAUGAGCCGAUGUCGGAUUAGCUAGUUGGCGGGGUAAAGGCCCACCAAGGCGACGAUCCGUAGCUGGUCUGAGAGGAUGAUCAGCCAAACUGGAAAUGAGACACGGUCCAGACUCCUACGGGAGGCAGCAGUGGGGAAUAUUGGACAAUGGGCGCAAGCCUGAUCCAGCCAUACCGCGUGGGUGAAGAAGGCCUUCGGGUUGUAAAGCCCUUUUGUUGGGAAAGAAAAGCAGCAGGUUAAUACCCCGCUGUUCUGACGGUACCCAAAGAAUAAGCACCGGCUAACUUCGUG